ACUCAAAUGAAUAGACGGGGGCCCGCACAAGCAGCGGAGCGUGUGGUUUAAUUCGACGCAACGCGAAGAACCUUACCAGGGCUUGACAUGCUGGUGGUACCGAACCGAAAGGCGAGGGACCCUUCGGGGAGCCAGUGCAGGUGAUGCACGGCUGUCGUCAGCUCGUGCCGUGAGGUGUUGGGUUAAGUCCCGCAACGAGCGCAACCCCUGUUGCCAGUUGUAUUUUUCUGGCGAGACUGCUGAGAGAAACUCAGAGGAAGGCGGGGAUGAAGUCAAGUCCGCGUGUCCCUUACGUCCUGGGCUACACACACGCUACAAUGGCCGGUACAGAGGGCGGCGAAAGAGCGAUCUGGAGCUAAUCCCACAAAGCCGGCCCCAGUUCAGAUUGCAGGCUGAAACUCGCCUGCAUGAAGGCGGAGUUGCUAGUAACCGCAGGUCAGCACACUGCGGUGAAUACGUUCCCGGGCCUUGUACACACCGCCCGU
rnacentral:rRNA from 1 species